rnacentral:misc_RNA from 1 species
AUAGAAAGUUUAUCCUGCUACCUAUACUUAAAAUCUUUCAUAAACAUUCAAUAUCCUCAUCAUUUUGAAUUAACAAUAAUGCAUGUAAUUGUAUUCAAGUUGUUUAUAUUGAUGAAUGCAAACAUUUAAUGAAUUCUUAAAUUCAGAUGAAUAAAAUGUCAGAAGCCUUUUACAGGUACAUGCAAAGUAAUACAUUACCAAUUAUUCAAAAGCAGCUGAGGAAGUAAAAUAGAUUUGGUCAUGCAAACUAAUCCUUUGUAGCUGAUGCUAUUAUUUUUUUCUUUAUGUAUUUUAUACCUAUAAAUUAUAAUUUAUGUGAUGGUAUUUUGUGGUCAUACUCAAAUGAGAUGAAUGUAAAAAUUGAUCAUGAAUUUGACAAUAAAUGUCUAU